AAGCUGUGAUGUGGGCACUUUCUCAAUAAAUCAUUGAAUCUCUCCCAAGCUUCAUACAAACUCUCUUGAUCAUGGUGGACAAAGGUCAUUAUCUCAUUAUGUAGUUU
rnacentral:snoRNA from 1 species